rnacentral:rRNA from 1 species
AGAGUUUGAUCCUGGCUCAGGAUCAACGCUGGCGGCGUGCAUGAGACAUGCAAGUCGAACGGAUGAUCGAGGCUUGCUUUUAUCGUUAGUGGCGGACGGCUGAGUAACGCGUAGGUGACCUGCCCCGAAGUGGGGAAUAACUGCCCGAAAGGGUGGCUAAUACCGCAUGUGGUGGUGCCUUCAAUUGCACCAGUAAAGCCGCAAGGCGCUUCGGGAGGGGCCUGCGUCCGAUUAGCUCGUUGGUGGGGUAACGGCUCACCAAGGCGACGAUCGGUAGGUGGUCUGAGAGGACGAUCACCCAGACUGGGACUGAGACACGGCCCAGACUCCUACGGGAGGCAGCAGUCGGGAAUUUUGCGCAAUGGACGAAAGUCUGACGCAGCAACGCCGCGUGAGGGAUGACGGCCUUCGGGUUGUAAACCUCUUUUGUCAGGGAAGAUGAUGACGGUACCUGACGAAUAAGUCACGGCUAACUACGUGCCAGCAGCCGCGGUAAUACGUAGGUGACAAGCGUUGUCCGGAUUUACUGGGCGUAAAGAGCGCGCAGGCGGUCGUUCAAGUCGAGUGUGAAAGCCCCCGGCUCAACUGGGGAGGGUCACUCGAUACUGAUCGACUCGAAGGCAGGAGAGGGAAGUGGAAUUCCCGGUGUAGUGGUGAAAUGCGUAGAUAUCGGGAGGAACACCAGUGGCGAAGGCGACUUCCUGGCCUGUUCUUGACGCUGAGGCGCGAAAGCUAGGGGAGCAAACGGGAUUAGAUACCCCGGUAGUCCUAGCCGUAAACGAUGGACACUAGGUGUUGGUGGUAUCAACCCCGCCAGUGCCGAAGCUAACGCAUUAAGUGUCCCGCCUGGGGAGUACGGCCGCAAGGCUAAAACUCAAAGGAAUUGACGG